GCAAGUCGAACGAAGCACUUUACCACGAUUCCUUCGGGAUGACGGUUUUGUGACUGAGUGGCGGACGGGUGAGUAACGCGUGGGGAACCUGCCCCAUACCGGGGGAUAACAGCCGGAAACGGCUGCUAAUACCGCAUAAGCGCACAGUACCGCAUGGUACGGUGUGAAAAACUCCGGUGGUAUGGGAUGGACCCGCGUCUGAUUAGCCAGUUGGCGGGGUAACGGCCCACCAAAGCGACGAUCAGUAGCCGGCCUGAGAGGGCGACCGGCCACAUUGGGACUGAGACACGGCCCAGACUCCUACGGGAGGCAGCAGUGGGGAAUAUUGCACAAUGGGGGAAACCCUGAUGCAGCGACGCCGCGUGAGUGAGGAAGUAUUUCGGUAUGUAAAGCUCUAUCAGCAGGGAAGAAGAAAUGACGGUACCUGACUAAGAAGCCCCGGCUAACUACGUGCCAGCAGCCGCGGUAAUACGUAGGGGGCAAGCGUUAUCCGGAUUUACUGGGUGUAAAGGGAGCGCAGGCGGCAUGAUAAGUCUGAUGUGAAAACCCAAGGCUCAACCAUGGGACUGCAUUGGAAACUGUCGUGCUGGAGUGUCGGAGAGGUAAGCGGAAUUCCUAGUGUAGCGGUGAAAUGCGUAGAUAUUAGGAGGAACACCAGUGGCGAAGGCGGCUUACUGGACGA
rnacentral:rRNA from 1 species